UCGAAACUUGCAAAAGAAGACCCGUGAACUAGUUAUCAACAUGUGGGGAGUGCUGGGAGAUAUCCCUUAGCUCCUUCGUGCCAGUGGUGGGUAAUUGUGUCGUUAUACCGGCAUGAUUGACCAACAUCUGGACAAGCUAACCAACCCCGGCGCGGCAUGCGCCAAGGAACUUUGCAAUAAAUGUGGAAACGCUACCGGUCGUUCCGAAAAUCGGAUAAAGCGGCCGUGUCGUGGACCACUUUUUCAUUACAAAACGACUCUCGGCAACGGAUAUCUAGGCUCUUGCAUCGAUGAAGAACGUAGCGAAAUGCGAUACUUGGUGUGAAUUGCAGAAUCCCGUGAACCAUCGAGUCUUUGAACGCAAGUUGCGCCCGAAGCCUCUUGGCCAAGGGCACGUCUGCCUGGGUGUCACACAUCGUCCCCACCGAAACAAAUGCUCCUUGUAGGUGUUUGGUAAGAGGAUGGGCGGAUAAUGGUCUCCCGUGCGCGGUUGCUCGCGGUUGGCCUAAAAAUAAGUUCCUGGUGAUAGCAAGCCAUGACCAGCGGUGGUUGAAAGACCCUCGAUGGGUGUCGUGAGAACUUGCAUCGCAUGUUGGGAGAUUCUGACCUUGAUCGUGUUUAAGCAUAUCAAACACUCAUGAA
rnacentral:misc_RNA from 1 species